AAGAAAUUAGUUAAAUUAUAACAUUAGAAUGUCAAACUAAAAUUAUUAAAAAUUAAUAUUUCUUA
rnacentral:tRNA from 1 species